rnacentral:rRNA from 1 species
AGUGAACGCCGGCGGUAGGCCUAACACAUGCAAGUCGAACGGCAGCACAGUAAGAGCUUGCUCUUACGGGUGGCGAGUGGCGGACGGGUGAGGAAUACAUCGGAAUCUACUUUUUCGUGGGGGAUAACGUAGGGAAACUUACGCUAAUACCGCAUACGACCUACGGGUGAAAGCAGGGGAUCUUCGGACCUUGCGCGAUUGAAUGAGCCGAUGUCGGAUUAGCUAGUUGGCGGGGUAAAGGCCCACCAAUGCGACGAUCCGUAGCUGGUCUGAGAGGAUGAUCAGCCACACUGGAACUGAGACACGGUCCAGACUCCUACGGGAGGCAGCAGUGGGGAAUAUUGGACAAUGGGCGCAAGCCUGAUCCAGCCAUACCGCGUGGGUGAAGAAGGCCUUCGGGUUGUAAAGCCCUUUUGUUGGGAAAGAAAAGCAGCAGGUUAAUACCCCGCUGUUCUGACGGUACCCAAAGAAUAAGCACCGGCUAACUUCGUG